AUGGCAGGAGGAGGAACCGGACUUGCUGUGCGCGUGUGGAAAGAAUGGGGGAUCCAGAUCUUGGUUGUCGCCAGCUUCCUGCUUCAGCUCGUCCUCAUGGUGGGCGGUGAGCUCCGGCGGCGCAGCUCCUCUGCCGUGCUGCUGGCCUUCCUCUGGAUGUCGUACCUGAUGGCUGAUAACAUUGCGGUAUACGCCCUUGGCCACAUGUCCAUUGAGAGCAGGCUGCGCGAUGGCGAGCUUGUGGCGUUCUGGGCAACCUUCUUUCUACUCCACCUGGGUGGCCAGGACACCAUCACUGCCCUCUCCCUAGAGGACAACCAACUAUGGAGGCGCCACCUGCUGACUCUCCUAGUGCAGGCAUCGGGAGCCGGCUAUGCCAUCUACCGCUACACCCUAUCUGGUACCUGGACCUUGGUCUCAGCCACCAUAGUGAUGUUCAUAGUGGGUUUCGCCAAGUAUGGUGAGAGGGUGUGGGCUCUCCAAAGAGGCAACAAUGAAGCUUUUGAUUGGGAACGGAACCAUGACAACACUCAAGAACGGGCUAACAUGUUGAAGACCAGAGCUAAGAUGGAUACAGAGGAGGUGAUUCAACUAUACUCUCAUUACAUGUUCUAUUUUUGCAAGGGCGCAUUUUUCAAUGUGAACCGGGAAAUUCGGUUCAGCACCACACUUAGCCAAUAUUUCAGAAACGUGAGUCUGCCUUAUAAGUGUGACAUUGGCAUGUAUGACCUGGUCGAGGCGGAGCUCUCGCUUUUGUAUGACCAGUUUUACACCAAGGCGCAAGUGGUCCACACUUGGCAGGGCUGCUUGAUCCGUGCCAUCUCACUAAUUGGCACGGCGAGCACACUCUUGUUGUUCCUUCUUGACGACGGUAAAGGUGCUUACAGCACAGUUGAUGUCUCCAUCACUUACCUGUUAUUGGUUGGGGCCAUCAUCCUGGAAACCAUGUCAGUGUUUACACUUGCAAGAUCGAGAUGGACCUGUGAGUACUUGCGUCAUCUGGGAUGGAACCGAGCUGUUGCUAUGGUUAUGUGCCUUCGUCGGCUUUUCAGGGUGGGAAGACAAAGAAAAUGGUUGCACUCCAUUGGGCAACACAAUGUGUUUGAUUACUGUGCCCGUCACCAA
rnacentral:rRNA from 1 species